GUAGGUGAACCUGCGGAAGGAUCAUUAUCGUAGGGCUUCGGCCCUGUCGAGAUAGGACCCUUGCCUUUUUGAGUACCUUUCGUUUCCUCGGCAGGCUCGCCUGCCAAUGGGGACCAUAAAAAACACUUUGCAGUACCUGUAACAGUCUGAACAAACAAAACAAAAAUUAAAACUUUCAACAACGGAUCUCUUGGUUCUG
rnacentral:misc_RNA from 1 species